UACGGGGGGGGGCAAGCGUUGUUCGGAAUUACUGGGCGUAAAGGGCUCGUAGGUGGCCAACUAAGUCGGACGUGAAAUCCCUCGGCUUAACCGGGGAACUGCAUCCGAUACUGGAUGGCUUGAGUUCGGGAGAGGGAUGCGGAAUUCCAGGUGUAGCGGUGAAAUGCGUAGAUAUCGUAAGGAAGACCAGUGGCGAAGGCGGGUCUCUGGACAGUUCCUGACGCUGAGGCACGAAGGUCAGGGGAGCAAACGGG
rnacentral:rRNA from 1 species